rnacentral:rRNA from 1 species
AGUGAACGCUGGCGGUAGGCCUAACACAUGCAAGUCGAACGGCAGCACAGUAAGAGCUUGCUCUUACGGGUGGCGAGUGGCGGACGGGUGAGGAAUACAUCGGAAUCUACUUUUUCGUGGGGGAUAACGUAGGGAAACUUACGCUAAUACCGCAUACGACCUACGGGUGAAAGCAGGGGAUCUUCGGACCUUGCGCGAUUGAAUGAGCCGAUGUCGGAUUAGCUAGUUGGCGGGGUAAAGGCCCACCAAGGCGACGAUCCGUAGCUGGUCUGAGAGGAUGAUCAGCCACACUGGACCUGGGACACGGUCCAGACUCCUACGGGAGGCAGCAGUGGGGAAUAUUGGACAAUGGGCGCAAGCCUGAUCCAGCCCUACCGCGUGGGUGAAGAAGGCCUUCGGGUUGUAAAGCCCUUUUGUUGGGAAAGAAAAGCAGCAGGUUAAUACCCCGCUGUUCUGACGGUACCCAAAGAAUAAGCACCGGCUAACUUCGUG